ACGUACACUCCUGCGGGAGGCAGCAGUGGGGAAUAUUGGACAAUGGGCGCAAGCCUGAUCCAGCCAUGCCGCGUGAGUGAUGAAGGCCCUAGGGUUGUAAAGCUCUUUCACCGGAGAAGAUAAUGACGGUAUCCGGAGAAGAAGCCCCGGCUAACUUCGCGCCAGCAGCCGCGGUAAUACGAAGGGGGCUAGCGUUGUUCGGAAUUACUGGGCGUAAAGCGCACGUAGGCGGAUCGAUCAGUCAGGGGUGAAAUCCCAGGGCUCAACCCUGGAACUGCCUUUGAUACUGUCGAUCUGGAGUAUGGAAGAGGUGAGUGGAAUUCCGAGUGUAGAGGUGAAAUUCGUAGAUAUUCGGAGGAACACCAGUGGCGAAGGCGGCUCACUGGUCCAUUACUGACGCUGAGGUGCGAAAGCGUGGGGAGCAAACAGGAUUAGAUACCCGAGUAGUCCC
rnacentral:rRNA from 1 species